AUACCAAAAAUACAAUACAGCUUGAGAAUAAUAUUAUGAAAAUAGUUUAUCGUAGGAAUUCCUCAACAUUGCUAGAGAAAAACUUUUUUGCACAAACUUUUCUCAAAUCUGUCCUUUGUUGACAAAUUUGUUUUGAUUUUUUUUUUUUUUUUGUGAAAAUUGUCAACAAAAAAAAAUAUUUUCUUUGGUUAAAAUCAAAAUCACGCGAAUUUAAGACCCAUUUCUGGACGAAACUCUAAGAAUAGAGGCGUCAAAAAGUUGCAAGAAUUCAAGAGAUGUGAAGAAUUAGUGGAGGAGAUGCGGAAGCUCAAAUAAGGGGAAAGAAAGCAUCUAGAUAUCAAUGCAACAGGAGGCAGCGACAGCUGGGAUGGCGAUCAAUGAAUGAAAUGUGUAAAAUAAUUAAAAAAAUUAAAAAAUAAAUAUUUUAUACCAUUGAAAAAAUAA